UUGAACGCUGGCGGCAGGCCUAACACAUGCAAGUCGAACGGUAACAGGAAGAAGCUUGCUUCUUUGCUGACGAGUGGCGGACGGGUGAGUAAUGUCUGGGAAACUGCCUGAUGGAGGGGGAUAACUACUGGAAACGGUAGCUAAUACCGCAUAACGUCGCAAGACCAAAGAGGGGGACCUUCGGGCCUCUUGCCAUCGGAUGUGCCCAGAUGGGAUUAGCUAGUAGGUGGGGUAACGGCUCACCUAGGCGACGAUCCCUAGCUGGUCUGAGAGGAUGACCAGCCACACUGGAACUGAGACACGGUCCAGACUCCUACGGGAGGCAGCAGUGGGGAAUAUUGCACAAUGGGCGCAAGCCUGAUGCAGCCAUGCCGCGUGUAUGAAGAAGGCCUUCGGGUUGUAAAGUACUUUCAGCGGGGAGGAAGGGAGUAAAGUUAAUACCUUUGCUCAUUGACGUUACCCGCAGAAGAAGCACCGGCUAACUCCGUGCCAGCAGCCGCGGUAAUACGGAGGGUGCAAGCGUUAAUCGGAAUUACUGGGCGUAAAGCGCACGCAGGCGGUUUGUUAAGUCAGAUGUGAAAUCCCCGGGCUCAACCUGGGAACUGCAUCUGAUACUGGCAAGCUUGAGUCUCGUAGAGGGGGGUAGAAUUCCAGGUGUAGCGGUGAAAUGCGUAGAGAUCUGGAGGAAUACCGGUGGCGAAGGCGGCCCCCUGGACGAAGACUGACGCUCAGGUGCGAAAGCGUGGGGAGCAAACAGGAUUAGAUACCCUGGUAGUCCACGCCGUAAACGAUGUCGACUUGGAGGUUGUGCCCUUGAGGCGUGGCUUCCGGAGCUAACGCGUUAAGUCGACCGCCUGGGGAGUACGGCCGCAAGGUUAAAACUCAAAUGAAUUGACGGGGGCCCGCACAAGCGGUGGAGCAUGUGGUUUAAUUCGAUGCAACGCGAAGAACCUUACCUGGUCUUGACAUCCACGGAAGUUUUCAGAGAUGAGAAUGUGCCUUCGGGAACCGUGAGACAGGUGCUGCAUGGCUGUCGUCAGCUCGUGUUGUGAAAUGUUGGGUUAAGUCCCGCAACGAGCGCAACCCUUAUCCUUUGUUGCCAGCGGUCCGGCCGGGAACUCAAAGGAGACUGCCAGUGAUAAACUGGAGGAAGGUGGGGAUGACGUCAAAUCAUCAUGCCCUUUAUGUCUUGGGCUACACACGUACUACAAUGGCUGUAACAGAGGGAAGCAACAUAGAGAUGUGAAGCAAAUCCCAAAAAGCAGUCUCAGUUCGGAUUGAAGGCUGAAAUUCGCCUUCAUGAAGCCGGAAUUGCUAGUAAUGGCAGGUCAGCAUACUGCCGUGAAUACGUUCCCGGGCCUUGUACACACCGCCCGUCACACCAUGAGAGUCGGGAAUACCCGAAGCCUGUGAGCCAACAUAUUUAUAUGAGGCAGCAGUCGAAGGUAGAAUCGAUGAUUGGGGUG
rnacentral:rRNA from 1 species